UACGAGGGGUGCAAGCGUUGCUCGGAAUUAUUGGGCGUAAAGGGUAGGUAGGUGGUCUCAUUUGUCUGAGGUGAAAGCCUUGAGCUUAACUCAAGAAGUGCCUUAGAAACGGUGAGACUAGAGUCCUGGAGAGGGUCGUGGAAUUCCCGGUGUAGCGGUGAAAUGCGUAGAGAUCGGGAGGAACACCAGAGGCGAAGGCGACGACCUGGACAGGUACUGACACUGAACUACGAAAGCAUGGGUAGCAAACAGG
rnacentral:rRNA from 1 species